GUUGAUUUGGUGGUAUUAGUAUUGAUAUAAAUAUUUAAUUUAAAAUUUUAUCUAUAUAAAUUCAUCUUUUUUAUUUCAUUAGACUCCUUCCCCACAAACUAAUCUUUUUCAUUCAAUACUUAAAGUUGCGAAACACUUAUUUUUUUUAUUGUACUAUUUGAUUUAUGCUUUAGUUUCACUCAACGAAGAAGACUCUUGAAUUUUUAUUGAUUAUG
rnacentral:lncRNA from 1 species